rnacentral:rRNA from 1 species
UACGUAGGGUGCAAGCGUUGUCCGGAAUUAUUGGGCGUAAAGAGCUCGUAGGCGGUUCGUCGCGUCGGCUGUGAAAACCCGGAGCUCAACUCCGGGCCUGCAGUCGAUACGGGCGGACUUGAGUGUUGCAGGGGAGACUGGAAUUCCUGGUGUAGCGGUGAAAUGCGCAGAUAUCAGGAGGAACACCAGUGGCGAAGGCGGCGAUCUGGGAAGAUACUGACGCUGAGGUGCGAAAGCGUGGGGAGCAAACAGG